GCAGAGUAGUACUCGGCUUCCUCCACAAGACAUGCUCGGCCUCGGCAGUGUGCUGGACGCUAGAGCCGCGUCUCCAUUUGCCGGACGUAGCCUCAACUCUGCCCUACAUGGCGAGCUCUGCAAGCGCCGGCAGCCUUGGCGCACAACGCCUCUGCAUGGUCGCUGGUCAUCAGCCAUGGACGAGCCCAACGUCGCGCUGAGCUUCGCUUCUGGUGGCCGCCGACUCAGCUCGUUAUCGUCUACAGCUAGCCGUGGAUCUCGCCUGGACCUCGUCGUUCCUGCUCGACAACGCUUCGGCAUGCCGUUGAGUUUUGCCUCACCUCGCCGUCAAGGUUCCCUAGCGCGCGAGCUCCCUCUCCAGCCUUCCCCGGCGCACGCGCCCUCGCUUCCUAGUUCCGUCGAUCGCCGCUCGCCAAGCUUACGCACCCGAUGCUCCUACUUCAAUAUCCGUGUCCUUCUCUGUUGCUGCAGCAGGCUACGAAGCUCCGCCACACUGCAUAGCAGCCACUACUCCUCGCCAUCAGGCCUGAUGACUGACUCACUGACACCGCGCUCGAUGUGGAAGAAUGGAAUUAGAUGAAGAAAGCGAGGUUCAUCGUGGUGCUCACCAGGUGCUCGAUAAAAUGACUGAGUUACGAAACCCUCGCCGACUUCGUUGUUCUUGUGAUUAUCGAGCCAGAUUCAGUUAUGUUGAUCACGUGAUGCGGAAGACGAGCUGAGUCAACCAAAAGAUGUUGUUAAGUGUGGGCUUCUUCGCAAGGCGAUGCUGAUGAAUGAACUUAAGGAUGGAUGACCCGAACAAGUGUCGGACCAAAAGGUGAUCGCCAAGUGGACGUCAUCUAACAAACACUAACCUAGUGUUAUUCCAGGCAAGCCCCGGUGCAUGCAACCCCUUCCUUGUGUUUU